rnacentral:rRNA from 1 species
UACGUAGGUGGCGAGCGUUGUCCGGAUUUAUUGGGCGUAAAGCGCGCGCAGGUGGUGCGGUAAGUCUGUCGUGAAAUCUCCUGGCUCAACUGGGAGGGUGCGGUGGAGACUGCCGGACUGGAGGCACUCAGAGGCCGGUGGAAUUCCCGGUGUAGUGGUGAAAUGCGUAGAGAUCGGGAGGAACACCAAAGGCGAAGGCAGUGUCCUGGGGAGUACCUGACGCUCAGGUGCGAAAGCCAGGGGAGCGAACGGGG